AAUCUCAAUCCCCCCGGGUUUAUGAUCUGGGUCGGACUUGGACAUGGGCGUCUGCCGGUCACACGGCUCGCCUCAAAUGACUUAGUGGAUCUCUCUGCAUCCGUGACAGACGUAAUAAGUUUCGUCUUGUCCCUUGCUAAUGAGUCUGCUCAUAACCUGCCAUCGCGCACUUUUAGA
rnacentral:misc_RNA from 1 species